UGCUGGGCCUUCUCUCCAGCCCCAACAAUCUUUUUUGUUUUUAUUUUUUUUCUACUAAGGGGCCUGGGAAACAAAUCAUUAGCCAAUUAUGUCACCCACAGAAGGGACAGGAUUGGAUAAGACAUUAACCUGGGCUUGUGACAGCACAGCAUAGUGACAGAACAAUAAGAACUAUAUAGAGACCCUGAGUAAUUCAUUCUCUCUCUCUCUCUCUCUCUCUCUCUCUCUCUCUCUCUCUCUCUCUCUCUCUCUCUCCUCUCUCUCUUCCUCUCCCUCUCUCCCUCUCUGACACACACCCACACACCCACACCCACACCUCCCUAAGAUAUGAGCAAACAUUGGCAAAGACAUGAGUUGGUAAGAAGUCCUAUGGAUGGCAGCCUGAAAGAUGGCUGCCACUGAUCUCUGCCUGCGAGCACUAUGGCCCUCAUGGAAGCCUCUGCCCCUGUCAUAGGCUGGACUUACUAACUCAGAACAUCAAAGAACCAGGUAAUGUGCAAAUCGAUAUUAUCUGAACAUGGAGUCUUAAGCCAGCAAGAUGGCUCAGUGAGGAAAGCCACUUGCCUGCUUGGACAAGCAACAAUCUGCAACAAGUUUUCUCACAGUGAAGACACUUUCAGGGUUUCUCUUUGGUAUGAAUUAGCAGGUGCUAUACAAGAUGUUUCUGCCUGGAAAAGAUUUUC